rnacentral:siRNA from 1 species
UUUGUGCCAUAUAUGCUCAAC